GGAGCAGGCUGGGGACUCCUAAAAUCAGCCAACAGCGAGAAGACUCAAGAGAAGCACUAUGGGAGCGUGGGCCGUGCUGUGUGGAGUCUCACUGAUCUGUGUGCUGGACCUAGGUCAGCAGAGUGUGGACGAGGAGCCCAGCUGUGGCCCUGACAGCUUCCAGCAUGGGACUGGCACCAACACACGCUGCUGCAGCCUGUGUGCUCCAGGCGAGGAGGCCUGUCCUAAAGGAGACUGCGUGUGUGCCAAGCCAGAGUACCACUGUGAAGACCCUCAGUGUAAGACCUGCAAGCACUACCCCUGCCAACCAGGCCAGAAGGUGCAGCCUCAUGGGAAUAUUAAGUUUGGCUUCGAGUGUGUUGACUGUGCCACGGGCACCUUCUCAGCAGGUCGCGAGGGCCACUGCAGACCUUGGGCCAAUUGUGCCCAGUUUGGAUUUCUCACCAUGUUCCCUGGAAACAAGACCCACAAUGCUGUGUGCAUCCCGGAGCCACUGGCUACUGAGAAAUUUGGCCAUUUGAUUGUCAUCUUCCUGGCCAUGGCAGGGUGCAUCCUCUUCGUAACCACAGUCCAUCUCGGCCUGCACAUUUGGCAGCUGAGGAAGCAGCACAUAUGUUCCCGAGAGACCCAGCCACUCCUGGAAGUGCAGCUACCAGCAGCUGAGGAUGUUUCCAGCUUCCAGUUCCCUGAGGAGGAGCGUGGAGAGCAGAUGGAGGAAAAGUGUCAUCUGGGGGACCGGUGGCCAUGAGGACUAUUCUCCCUCUGUACCCCAUGCCUGACCCUCCAAGACUUGGCCAGAUCUACCCUUGGCUCCUGGGAGAGACUGGAGGAAAAGAUGGAAAAAUUACCAUGGAAGUGGAGGACAUUGGGAUCAGAACAUGAAGAGCUCAGGGCCACACGAAGUCCCUUGGGGAUGUCCAGCAUCCUGAGUGCCUGGAGCUGCCUCUUCUGUCCCUACUGGGUGGGUGAGGAGUCAGGCACAAGCUGCAAAGGCUUGAGUCAGCCUGGAAAGGGAGGUGGGGUCGGGGGCAUCUCCCAGCUUGCCUACCACACCACACCUCUAGGUUCUGAGCCACAGGCAGUUUGCACUGGAACUGCCACAGGUGGGGCAUCCCCAAAUAGCGUGACGUGUGCAGAUACCCACAGGCUGCAUCUGCUGGAAACUCCUCCUGUGGGCGACUGAUGGGUGUGAUACAGAGAUGGCGGGAGAUUGUGCCGGUAGGG